ACGAACGCUGGCGGCAGGCUUAACACAUGCAAGUCGAACGCACUCUUCGGAGUGAGUGGCAGACGGGUGAGUAACGCGUGGGAACGUACCCUUCGGUUCGGAAUAACCCAGGGAAACUUGGGCUAAUACCGGAUACGUCCGCAAGGAGAAAGAUUUAUUGCCGAAGGAUCGGCCCGCGUCGGAUUAGCUAGUUGGUGAGGUAACGGCUCACCAAGGCGACGAUCCGUAGCUGGUCUGAGAGGAUGAUCAGCCACACUGGGACUGAGACACGGCCCAGACUCCUACGGGAGGCAGCAGUGGGGAAUAUUGGUCAAU
rnacentral:rRNA from 1 species